GCGUUGGGAUUACAGGUGUGAGCCACUGCACCCGGCCAAGUGUUUUUUUGUAAAAGUAAUGGGAAUGUCAUCAUUUUGAAAUCCCAAAAAAGUAAAGGUUUUGAUACUGAGCAUCAACAUCUGCUAAUAAAAAGAGAAAUAACUAGAUAUCACAUACCUCUUAAUAAAGAACUCACACCAGAGAAGUAGUUUUGCCACAGAAAUUGAACCUGAAUCUGAUGAAGGAAUGAUUCACAGGAUAAACCAAAAAAGAGGAACAUGAGAAUAUAGUCUGCAGUAUCUAGAUAGUGUAGGACAGUGGAUUUGGUGUCGAACAAAUAAUUGCAAGAAAAAGAAGGGAUAGAGGGGAUAACAUUAAUGUGCUCUUAAAAAUAAAAUAAACUUGUGAAACUAAACUACCAACAAAAUAAGGAAGCAAUAAGUUCAAGAGAUAUGUAUUACGUGGUGACUUGUUAAUAACUCUGUAUGCCUGAAAAUUGCCAAAUAGCUUUUAAGUGUUCUCACUACAAAUAAAAUGAUAUUGUGAGGUAAUGCAUACAUUAACUAGCUUGAUCUAGUCAUUCUACACUGAAUUUAUAUUUUAAAACAAACAUCAUUUUGUGUGCCACAUAUACAAUUUUUACUUGUCAAUUAAAUUUUUUUUUAUUUAAAGUCAGAUUAAUAGUUAUUUUUGGGAAAGAAGAGAAUUAUUAUUGGAAAAGGCAUGCAUAGCUCUCUUGGGGUAGCUGCUAAAUUUCUUUUUCAUUUUUGCCUUCUACUGUAUUAAGCUAUGCAUUUGUUUUGUGUGGUUUUCUUUACUAUACUAAGUCAUUAAAAAUUCUUGAUACCUUUGUCAAGCAAGUAACAUGAAAUAUUGAAGUAAUAAAAAGAUAAAUAACCAGAUAUUACAUGCUUCUUAAUAAAGAACUCACCAACACCAAAGAAGUAGGUGUUGAGGAUCACCAGAGAGGUGAUCCUCCCACCUCAGCCUCUUGUAUAGCUGGAACUACAUGAAAUUUCAUGUUACUUAUUUGACAAAGGUAUCAAGAAUUUGAUAUAAAGAAUCAUCACUGGUCAGGUGCAGUGGCUAAUGCCUAUAAUCCCAGCCCUUUGAGAUUAGCCUGGCAUAAUGGUGCUUGCUUAUAGUCCCAGCUACUCAGAAGGCUUAGGGAGAGGGUCACUUGAGCCCAAGAGUUUGAGAUUAUAGUGAGAUAUGAUCAUACCAGUGAACUCCAGCCUGGAUGACAGAGCAAAACAUUGUCUCU